GAUGAAGAACGCAGCGAAAUGCGAUAAGUAGUGUGAAUUGCAGAAUUCAGUGAAUCAUCGAAUCUUUGAACGCACAUUGCGCCCUUUGGUAUUCCAAAGGGCAUGCCUGUUCGAGCGUCAUUUGUACCCUCAAGCUUUGCUUGGUGUUGGGCGUCUUGUCUCUAGCUUUGCUGGAGACACGCCUUAAAGUAAUUGGCAGCCGGCCUACUGGUUUCGGAGCGCAGCACAAGUCGCACUCUCUAUCAGCAAAGGUCUAGCAUCCAUUAAGCCUUUUUUUCAACUUUUGACCUCGGAUCAGGUAGGGAUACCCGCUGAACUUAAGCAUAUCAAUAAGCGGAAGA
rnacentral:misc_RNA from 1 species